UUGAGAUCGAAAUUUUUCAGAGUUUGGAAUUCUUCAGGGGUAAAGUGUUUUGAGUUUGGAAUUCUUCAGGGGUAGAGUGUUUUGAGCUUGGAAUUCUUCAGGGGUAAAGAGGGCCCCCUAUACUUUUUGCGUGAAGCGUGAAGGGCUUGUUUUACUUAGCCGUGAAACGUGAUCAGCCCCCCUAUACUUUUUGCGUGAAGCGUGAGGGGCUUAUUUUACUUAGCCGUGAAACGUGAUCGAUGAUUUUCUUAAUCCGUGACUCGUGAAAAGGCAAAAUAUUUUUAUGUGAAAGCAUAUUGUGAAGAGGUAUAGGGGGCCCUCGGUAAAGGAUUUUGAGCUUGGAAUUCUUCAGGGGUAUAACUAUGAAAAACAUGUAUCCUCGACAGGGGGGGUACGGAUAUUAAAUGGAAUAGCCCAAUGACACUUGCCAGAGCAAUUUGCGUGGCGCGUGGAAAUGACGUGGCACGGGGACACAAAGAACAAAGGAAUCGCCGCGAGUUCCGCCCACUGAGC